CAGGUACGUUGGGUUCUACAAGGGAGUGCAGAGUGCAGGAGCGGCGGUGGCAUGGCAAGUGGACAAGCAACACACGCCCCUGAUAUCCCAGCUGAUUGUGAACUGGGGGCUCAUGACCAUCAGCUACCCAUUGCUUGUGCUGCUGGUGUUCCUGGCCGUGAAGGACGAGGACUACUCUGUUUCUUCAGUGGAGGAGGACGGCAAGGAGAAAGAUAGUAAGCUGUCAGCACCAACCAGCUUCCACUAAGGAUGAUAGAUCACGAUGUUACGGGUUUUUCAUCAAAGUUGUAGAAAUCAAGAAACAACUGAAGUACCUAUGCAAAGAAUAUUUAGGGUGUGGCGUUUUUAUGUAUGUGGAUUACCUGAUGGGGAUGACAGUAUUCGUUUGGUGAUUAUUACUAUUCUCUCCGUGUUAGAUUGAGCAUGCUUGCAUCUACUCCUUGUCCGUGGUGUAACAUAUGCCAUUUUUGAGCAAUGAAAGGUUUAUUAUAUUCCUUGUCCGUGCUGCAGUUCCUAAAAUUUAUGGGUGUACAUCCACAGACAUCAGCACUUUGUACAGCAUAGAAAAUAAUAAAUAAAUGCUAAUUCUGACUGCAUUAACUAAAUCACAAAAACUACCAUUAUCUCUCCUAACAUGCUUGGGCCAGAAAUCAUCAGGUGUUGUUUAUUUCGGCCAGAAAUCACAUAGGCAUUUCUCUUAUUAAAAAAUUUAUGCAAAAUAUCAUUUCUUUUGUCGUGGCUUGGUUUAUUAAUAAUUUUUUUCAAGAAUAACUUAAAUUUGACUAUGUUUGUACAAUCUUUUUUAAUAAGAUGAGGAUCAAACUUGGGGUAAAAAAAGUCAAACAUAAUUUCAGAUGGAGUGAGUAUACUACACAAGAGAGUUGUAGGUUAUUCACUCUCUUUAUGUAGGACAACUCCUGAAGUAUAAUUUGUUUCAUUUGAUAAAGCAUGGAGAUGGACUUCAUAGGAAAACGGCAGUUGAUGAACAACUUUGUGGAUUUUUGAAGACAACUUUUUUUUUUAUCAAAAUGAUUAAUACAGAUUUAGAUCAACAAAUAUGGAUAUUAACAAUGUAUGAUUCUUUUUGGCAUCAAGAAAAAGUUUCAAAUUAAAAUUUCAUGAAUUACGCAGAGCUGUACUUUAUUGAGGUCUACAUUUUUUCAAUAAAUUUCAUAUCUAUCGACAUAAAAGGUACGAGACUCUUAAAGAAGGGUUGCAUAGUAAAAGAAAAUUCCACCAACAAUUAGAUGUAAAGGAAAUUUGGGCAAUCGAAUCCAUGGAAUUUAAAUCCUGCCACUUUGAUCUAUGAUAGUAGUAUACUUUUGUAAACUUUUAUUUCUAUAUUGGAACACUUAUUUUUGCAAAACAUAUUUAAUAAAAAUACAAAAAAGGUAAAGAUAAUCUGGCAUAUACCUGGGCCUGAUCUGCUGAAAUGGCACACUGGGCCUAGGUAUGAUGCAGCCCAAACUGGGGAUAUAAAAGUAUUUGUGGACCGUACUGUUUUGUUGGGAUUUUCUUUUACAAAGUUAGAAACAGUUUCAAACAAAAAUUUCAUGAAUUAUAGAGCUGUUCUUUAUUGAGGUCUACAAUUUUUCAUAUAAAUCUCAUAUCUAUCUAUCGACAUAAAAGGUAUGAGAAUUUUAAAGAAAGGCUGCAUAGCAAAAGAAAAUUCCAGCCUAGUAGCAUCUGGCCCAUGAUGAGCAUGCUGACAGUAACAGCCCCAGCGUUGAUGAUAGAGCCGAAGAGGAAUAAGACGCCACCGAUGAGCAUGACAGAUUGGCGUCCAACCCUUCUUGUCACACGGCUUGCCAUUGUCACACGGCUUGCCACUAAUGAUGACAGGGAGCUACCAAUGUACAUCGAUGACGUGAAUGCUGUAAGAAGCUGGUUGUCGUACAUGCAAUAGGCAUCACGCUUUGCACUCUUCAUCCCGCUCACCACUUCCGGGAAGAACUUAUUCAAGAAUGACUCCAUUUGUGUGACACCACCUGAAAAACAUGCAUCCUUGAGACUAUUAGUAGUUUAGAAAAUCAUAAUUUAGUGUCUUAUUAGUGCAUGCAUCACACGCCUAUCGUCAUUGGUAUAUACUCCCUACAUACCUGUAAAUAAAGUCAUUUUGAAUAAGGUUUGAGUCAAACAUUGUGAAUAUAAAUUAUGAAUAACUUGUAAGUUGUUGAGUUUGCAAAUGUGAAAACCAUAUGAAUAGAUUUGACUUGAAAAAUACUUUCACAAAAAUAUACAUAUACCACUUUUAAAUAAAUAUUUUUAUCAAAGUAAGAAGUCAAAGUUAGGUUUUGGAGACCGUGUCGUUGUCCUAAAUGACUUUCUUUACAUGUACGGAGGGAGUAUUAUGUAAAAUUUAUAGCAACUGGUAUACAGCUCAUUUUGGUAAAAAAAAACUGGUAUAGUACAGCUCAUCAUGAACAUGACAAGAUAUAUAUACACCUCUGGUCUGAUGUACUAGCUAUAGCGACGUCUCAGCAGAAAAAAAAUCAUAUACCCCCAUAAAUAAUAUUGUGCACUUCAUAACAAAAGCAAGUCAAAAGCUGCUCACUUGCGCUGCGUCCCACCAAAAAAUAAGCUUUAGACUUCCGUAGGACACAAGGAUUAAAUAUGAGAGCAUGCAAAUUGUGCACAACAUCCAUCAAUCGUUGAGCCCACAAUGCUUUGCCUAUAUAUUGUUAGAUAUUUUCUUAUGAGUUGUCUAGUUGUUGCCUACAUAUAUUAUAUGUAAUCCUCACUUAUAGUUACAAAUAUUGGCCCACCAAUUCGUGCUCUCCAGCACGGACCAGAAUAAUCUUAUAUAUGUUACAUAAGUUAAAGUUUCACGGAUAAAUUAGUAUGUAUCAGCUCUUGUUGCACCUCUUUCCAUGACAUCAAGUGCUCUAAUCUUUUGAUAUUCUAUUGGUUGCUGCAAUUUUUCAUCCAUGCACUGGUUAAUACACUAGUGGUUUUUGUAUCUUUUUAUUCAAUAUUUCCCUUUUGUGUAUUUUAUUUUGUUUUUGUGUAUUUUAUCAAACUAUAGAUUCUAGGUCAUAGACUACCCACUUAGUUACCAUAUAUAAUGUCACAAAUAACCAUUUGUGCUUUCAGCAAUCAGGAUGAUAAAUUUCAUGUAUCAAAUAACUAUAUGUUUGAUUUACGAAAAAUGGUGGUUAAAAUUAACCAACCAAUAUUAAUAUGUCACAAUGUUUAUUUAAGGUUUAUAAACUUAUAUAAAGCAACAACUUACAAAAUUUUGUCAUGGAGUAUUAACAUAAUUUCAGUGGCAUACGUGGUUUGUUUAUGGGAUACUUUUUUCAUGAUCCAUAAACCGAGAAAAUAAAUAUUUGUCCUAAUGUAUGCAAUCAUAUUACAUAGUGGCAUAUUGUAUUUAUGUUUACUUGGAAUUUAAGAGUUGUAGAAGUGUAUAUAUGGUUAUUUAUUUCUUUUUCAUACUACCUUAUGUUGGUUUUUGGACGUAGUUUUGCGAGAUAUUUUAGUUUGAUUUUACAGUAAUAGAGGUGCAUAAUUUUAAUGCAAAUUUAGAUGGUUAAUUAAAUUUUAUUUUAUAAUGGAAGAGCAGGUAUAUAAAUUUGCAUUUUUUAGGUUCCUUUAAAUUGUAUUUUAUGAUUGCAGAGGUUGUGGGCUGCUCGCUUGGAGGUGACACAGUUAGUGUUUUAAAACUAAAUUAAUAAAUUUCACUGUACGGACGAAAGCCCCUCCAGAAUUCUAAUAAAAAGGAGACAGACAAGAGAGGGGAGGGGUAUUGUGAGGAUGAAAUGUAAAAUAAAGAACAUAAUAACUACUUGCAAAUUGGUAAAGGCGUAAAGCAUGAGUAAUCAAGCUAGCGUGCAUUGGCAAAACAGCCUUACAACAAAACUUUCCUCGCGUCAUUUGAGAGGUAUUAUAUAUUGGAUCUUUUAUGGGCUACAAUUAUAGCUCUAAUUUAUAGUUGAGUGGUUUAAAUAUUUGGUCAACCCUCUAUAUUUGUAAGGGAUUAUGUAGACUUUUUUUAUUGUUUGCUAACUCAUAGUCAUGUCAUUAUACACAUAUAGAGUAUGCUAAUGACAGUGACAUGCCUUCAAAACCACUUUAGAGGGUUAUUUAGAUUCCCAAUAAUUAAAGAAGUAAAAUAUUUUAUUGGUUGGAAAAAAACAUUUGGUUUUAUAGGAGAGGGAAUGGAGUGAAGCAGGUGAAUGCAAAUAAUUAGGUUAACUAUACUUUUUCCAAAAUUAAUUCCCAACCACGAAAAAAAAUAUACACAUCUGAUGUACUAGCUGUGUAUAUAUAUAGCAGAAAAUUUCCAUAUAAUAAGCACAGGUCCCCAUAAAUACCUUUUAUAAAGCCAAGUCAUAAGCUCUUCACUUGUGCUAGCGAAAAGGAUUACUUGAGUUGGAUUAAGUGAUGUUUAGCUCCGAUCCAGAACGAACUAUAUAUAACUGGGAACGGAGUAUAUAGCAGCCAAUAUUCAAGCAUGCAUGUUCAGAGAUGAUUGAUCUACAUCCAUUUGAGAAUACAUAUGCAUGUAGGGAGCAUUAGGGCAGAGCUGGGUGAUGAAGCAGCUAUCAUUUACCUGCGACACCAACAUGGUAGCCGAAGACGAGGCCACAGGAAGCAGCCAUGAGGCAGAUGGCCAUGACAGCGGCCGUCAAGCUACCGCCAUAGCUGUGACCAUCUGCCGCCUCCAACCCUCCUCUUGCCAUCGAACUGCUGACUACUCAAGGACGGGGACACUGCUUAUACUGGCGCAGGGGCAGAGCUUGCAAGUUUUUUGCAGCUUAGGUUGGGCGUUUGGUUCCAAGGCAUGCACAUGAAUUUAUGCACAUGAAGGGGCAUCACACACUUGUAUAUAUAUUGUAUUGUGUUCGGCAUCCUUUGGCUGCUGGCUGUCCGUUUUUGACAUGUCUCCGGCAGUGGUUGACUUUGCCAGCCAGGCUCACGCUAUCAUAUCUACACAAGCAUCCAUGGUAAUAUGGUAUAUGAUGAUGGUCGUUCUGUAGCAGAUUGGAGUCCCACACUGGGCUCAAAGGGUGCGUGGUCGCGCCUCCAUCGCCUCUCUCAAAGGAGAUAUUCAUGGGGAGCACCGGGACUUGUUCCGUUCUCUGCUGCCAUCAGGGAAGGGCUUUAGCUCCGGGCCGUAAGGGCCUUUAGUCCCGGCUACGGAACCGGGGCUAAGGUUUCGGGACUAAAUGUCCCACCUUUAGUCCCGGUUAACAAGUCGAUGACGGCGUAGAAAUGAUGAAAUGAAUCAAUAGCUGGAGAUGAGAGCAAGAACAAGCAACUCCAAAUGAAGAACACAGCAAAAGAGUGAAGAUCGAUGGGCUCGGCCGGGGAAAGAAGAGUUCAAAUAUGGGGAAGGACAUUUAGUUCCGGUUCCAUUUAAAAACCGGGUCUAAAUUCGAACACUAGUCCCGGCCGGUGAGACGGACCGGGACAACAGCUUUUAAUCCCGGUUAGUGGUACCAACCGGGACUAAAGGCUGGACUUUUGUCCCGAUUCGUGAGACCAACCGGAACUAAAGGUCCCUUCUGCCGAUCUCUGACACCAUAGCCGUUGGGCAGGGGACUUUUAGUCCCAGUUGACCUCAGCAACUGGGACUAAAUAUGUUUUUGUCCCGAACGCUGAUUGGGCCGAGAUUAUUGUUCAUUUUGGACAAGUGACCAAAGGCCUGUUCUGUAGUAGUGCAUUAUACAAAGCGAUUACCUCAGUUCAGCUUGGUGAUGGGAGAUCUUGCUCCUUCUAGACGGACGUAUGGUUGGGCGACGAAGCCCUUGCUCAUGUGUACCCAGUCAUUCUCAGCCACUGCACCAACCAGGAGAUUACGGUGAGCGGGUUGAUGGUGGCCGGCCUGCAGCAAUCACUUGUGCCCAUGCUUUGGAGAAGAGCAACGCAAGAAUUACAGCUGGUUGAAUCCAUGAUUGCCAACACAGAGCUGUUGGCUGAGCAUGAUCGUAGGGUGUCGUCAUUUAGUAACGGCAAGAAUGGGCAGGACAGUGGAGCCAUUUACGUACUCUCUCGACUCUUCGCUCCUUUCCCUUUGCUACAGGCGACAAGGAGGCGACGCGAUUUCUCGGCGGCGAUUCCGCCUACCCUUCUCCUCUCCGGCGACCACGUAGGUGCUAGAGAGAGAGGAGGGUCAGGGAAUCGCUUCGCGGGUGUAGUUAGGCUACGUAGAUGUCUCCCUAGGUCUAGGCUGUGCUCGCCGUCAACAAUUGACGGUGGAGCUAGCGUUUGCCGGGGGGAGUCUUCUCCUCCGCGGCCGCGUCUUCCUGGCAGCGCCGGCGAGGCGGUGGCGACGGUGUCGCAGGAAAAUAAAUUCCUCUGGUCUCUUCCUCACCCCUUUGGUGUCUGCUCUUGGCGUCAAUGGCGAGGCCAAGGAAGAGGAGAUUCGCCAGAUCCCUGUUCUGGAGUCCAUGGCCGGCGGCACAUCUUCCUACUCAGGUGAUGUUUUUGCUGGUCCUUUUGCUAAAGGAUGUGGCGCAGCUGUUGGGUGAUGUGGUUGGUGGCCGGAUGGAUCUGCAUCGAUUUCCUCUUGGCGGAGCUUUUCGUCGACGGCGAUGGCGGAUCCAGAAGCAAUUCAUUCUGUUUAUGACUCUGCUAAUACAGUGAUAACUCUGCUAAUACUGUAGAAAUCGCUACUAGCUUAGUUGGGAAAUUCUCACACAAGUGAUCUUAGUUGGGAAAUUGCUCCUCUUCAGUUAAUGUUCUUGAGUGAUUCAAGAUCCUCAUCACUUGACAAUUCAGGAUUGUAGGCAUUAAUCAAAGAUACUAGUUCGGUAGAACAAAGACAUGUUUGUAUAGCGGAGUAAAGUGAUCAAAUAUUAAAUUCCGAAGGGAUCCGAUAGGGCACUCCUCCCAAUUUCUUGUUAGUCAAUUCAGUAGAUUCCACUAACCACUAACCAUUUGAAGCAAACUAUGCUUGCUGCCGUCAUAAUAGUCAACACUUUGAAUUAGGUUGUGUCCUUUUCAUAUAAAGAAUCUAACUGAAGGCGUGGAACAUUGGACUCUUUUCCUGUACUGAGCGAUGUGAAUUGAGAAUCACAGAAGAUAUCUCGCUAGGAGUUUAUAUGAGUGGCCACCUUGCAAUAUUCUUUAGAUGCUGAAACAUGUUAGACAGCUUAAGUUCAUCUUUAAGAUACUGAAACAGAGUUCAUGUUAGACAGCUUAAGUUCAUCUUUAUGAUGCCAAAUUCCAUCUUGCAAUAUCCUUUUCCCAGCUUAAGUUCAUCUUAAGGCAAGAUACUAGUAGGUCAUCUUUGGUAGCGAAGGACUUCCAACAAUCUUUAGAAGAUUUGGGGAUAGAGAUUCUUAUCCAGCUUUCCCGCAAAAGAUUCUUAUCCGACAUGCUUUUUUUUCCCCUUUCGAUAAAGUUUAAUUUGGGACAGCAUUUAGCAGUAAAUUAGUAUGCUGCUGCUGCCAGGCUGUGUGAAAAGGGGAAAGAAAGAAGAGACAAAACAGACAGGUUCUUAUGUUCUGUGGAUUAAUAAACAAACCUCUGUAUGGUUGAGUGCAAAACUCUUGAAGAGGCCUGAUAAAAUUCCUUUAUCUAAAAAAGAUAAAUAAACAAACCUCUUUGUCUGAAUCACUCUCUCUCAACUCUUCUGACGGAUGGAUGCAGGUACGUUGGGUUCUACAAGGGAGUGCAGAGUGCAGGAGCGGCGGUGGCAUGGCAAGUGGACAAGCAACACACGCCCCUGAUAUCCCAGCUGAUUGUGAACUGGGGGCUCAUGACCAUCAGCUACCCAUUGCUUGUGCUGCUGGUGUUCCUGGCCGUGAAGGACGAGGACUACUCUGUUUCUUCAGUGGAGGAGGACGGCAAGGAGAAAGAUAGUAAGCUGUCAGCACCAACCAGCUUCCACUAAGGAUGAUAGAUCACGAUGUUACGGGUUUUUCAUCAAAGUUGUAGAAAUCAAGAAACAACUGAAGUACCUAUGCAAAGAAUAUUUAGGGUGUGGCGUUUUUAUGUAUGUGGAUUACCUGAUGGGGAUGACAGUAUUCGUUUGGUGAUUAUUACUAUUCUCUCCGUGUUAGAUUGAGCAUGCUUGCAUCUACUCCUUGUCCGUGGUGUAACAUAUGCCAUUUUUGAGCAAUGAAAGGUUUAUUAUAUUCCUUGUCCGUGCUGCAGUUCCUAAAAUUUAUGGGUGUACAUCCACAGACAUCAGCACUUUGUACAGCAUAGAAAACA
rnacentral:lncRNA from 1 species